rnacentral:rRNA from 1 species
UACGAACUGUGCGAACGUUAUUCGGAAUCACUGGGCUUAAAGGGUGCGUAGGCGGGUUGCCAAGUCUGUGGUGAAAUCCUCCGGCUUAACCGGAGAACUGCCGUGGAUACUGGCGACCUCGAGGGGGAUAGGGGCUUGCGGAACUGUGCGUGGAGCGGUGAAAUGCGUUGAUAUGCACAGGAACUCCGGUGGCGAAAGCGGCGAGCUGGAUCCCUUCUGACGCUGAGGCACGAAAGCUAGGGGAGCGAACGGG